UACGUAGGGUGCGAGCGUGGUCCGGAAUUAUUGGGCGUAAAGAGCUUGUAGGCGGUUUGUCGCGUCUGCUGUGAAAAUCCGGGGCUCAACCCCGGACUUGCAGUGGGUACGGGCAGACUAGAGUGUGGUAGGGGAGACUGGAAUUCCUGGUGUAGCGGUGAAAUGCGCAGAUAUCAGGAGGAACACCGAUGGCGAAGGCAGGUCUCUGGGCCACUACUGACGCUGAGAAGCGAAAGCAUGGGGAGCGAACAGG
rnacentral:rRNA from 1 species